rnacentral:ncRNA from 2 species
AAUCACGAGUUCCCGCCAUUCACGGCCCUGGCCGGCGGGACGGCAACCCUCUCAACGCUGCAGUGGGGUGCUCCAGGUGAGGAUUCGGCCCUCCGGCACCCCGGUUGGGCAAGUACAGCGU